rfam:Camelus ferus unplaced genomic scaffold scaffold1455, whole genome shotgun sequence.
GAGGGUAUGGCUCAGUAGUACAGUGCAUGCUUAGCAUGCACAAGGUCCUGGGUGCAAUCCCUAGUACCUCCA